UAGGAAUUAUUCAACGGGAAAAAGUCCGAAGGUGAAAAAUCAGGAGGAAAUUUCGUGACUGACGGGGAGUGAUAGGACGACAUGUCGUCCCCUUUUGUCGUCUUCAACCCAAUCAACUGAUCCGUAUGGAGUAUGAAAGAAAUAGCACGGGUGAUGCUGGAGUGGUAUUGGUAUUCUGCUUCCUUUGGCUGCAUGCGUUCAAUUAAUAUUGACUACGAUUUGAAGCCUUGGAUGAGAGUAGACGUAGCCAUUGAUAGAAUAAUAGAGUUUGUUUGAAGCAGAGAGAAUUGGAGAAGAAGAAAGGAUGGAGGACGGUGACGUGUCGAGGCAGAUUCAGCAGAUGGUGAGGUUCAUCCGUCAGGAGGCGGAGGAGAAAGCCAACGAGAUCUCUCUCUCUGCCGAGGAGGAGUUCAACAUUGAGAAAUUACAAUUAUUGGAGGCUGAAAAGAAAAAGAUUCGACAGGAGUAUGAGCGGAAGUCGAAGCAGGUGGAGAUUCGUAAGAAAAUUGAAUACUCAAUGCAGUUGAAUGCAUCACGUAUAAAAGUUCUUCAAGCACAAGAUGAUGUGGUGAAUUCCAUGAAAGAAUCUGCCAGCAAGGAACUUCUGCGUGUUUUUGAGGACAAUAAGUCAUAUAAAAAGCUUCUCAAAGCUUUGAUUGCUCAGAGCUUACUACGGCUGAAGGAGCCAGCAGUAUUGCUGCGGUGCAGAGAGGUUGACCGCAAACUUGUUGAGUCUGUUUUGGAGGAAGCAAAACAAGAGUAUGCUGGCAAGGCCAAAGUUAAAGCCCCUAAAGUUACCGUCGACAAUCAAGUGUACCUCCCACCACCACCAACACCGAGUGCAAUGGAUUCCCAUGAACCCUUUUGUCUUUUAGGGAUACAACUGCUGACCCUUUUUUGGCUAAUUGCUCAAAAGCUCGGGUGGGGUUGUCUUGGCUUCACAAGAUGGGAAGAUAGUCUGUGAGAACACCCUUGAUGCAAGAUUGGACGUCGUUUUCCGACAAAAAUUGCCUGAGAUCCGAAAGCGCCUUUUAGGAUAAAUGCGGAGAUUUGGCAAUGCAGAGGCAGGUUGCUGCAUGUUGGAAUGGUCUCCUCUCGGGGAAUAAGUCUGUUAGACAGUGGAAUUUAUGGGAAACAUUAAUAAUAUGUAGUUAUUGAAUCAGCUUAUUCUUAUUAGAAUUUGUUGUAAGAAGAUCAAAUAAAUCAUGUAGCUACACAAAAACUAAACAACUAUAUAUACUUACAACGCAAGCAUUCUAGAAA